rnacentral:rRNA from 1 species
GAACGCUGGCGGCGUGCCUAAUACAUGCAAGUCGAACGGAAUUUAAAAGAGCUUGCUCUUUUAAAUUUAGUGGCGCACGGGUGAGUAAUAUAUAGCUAAUCUGCCCCUUGCUGGAGGACAACAGUUAGAAAUGACUGCUAAUACUCCAUACUCCUUUUUACCAUAAGAUAAAUCGGGAAAGAAUUUCGGCAAGGGAUGAGACUAUAUCGUAUCAGCUAGUCGGUGGGGUAACGGCCUACCGAGGCUAUGACGCGUAACUGGUCUGAGAGGAUGAUCAGUCACAUUGGAACUGAGACACGGUCCAAACUCCUACGGGAGGCAGCAGUAGGGAAUAUUGCGCAAUGGGGGAAACCCUGACGCAGCAACGCCGCGUGGAGGAUGACACUUUUCGGAGCGUAAACUCCUUUUGUUAGGGAAGAAUAAGGACGGACCUAACGAAUAAGCCCCGCA